rnacentral:misc_RNA from 1 species
GAUGACAAAAUUCAACAAACUUCUCCAUGCAUUAUUCUCAUGAAAAGCUUUAUUUUCAUGCGGUAAACUUUGGGAGGGUAUAUUGUUAUUAAUUCGUCUAGUUUUGUUCUUAUUGAUUAUUUAGUUAAUCAUAUUUUUCUCGACAUUAUAGAAAUUUUUUAUUUUCCGUUGGCUUUUAUUCUCCUUUUUGUUGUUGAUUCAAUACUUUAUUGAACUGAUAACCGUUUAGAUCCUGAGGUUUUUAUUUUUUUGGUUUGGCCCUGGGGGACUUCUAUUUGGACCUUCUGGUAAUGGUGAUUAAGUUACAUAGGAUUCUUUGUUGAAAUUUAAGAUCCUUCAAGGCUUCAACUUUGUGGAUGUUCUAUUUUCCAACGAGCAAAUACUAUGGAUUAGUGAAUUAGUCCACUUGAAAUUUAUGUUUCUUUAAUUGGAUUGGGGUUUUAAUAUUAUGUGUUGUGCUAAAAAAAUUGUGGUUGGAUUUUGAGAUGAAUUAUGUUUUCUAAGUGCAACUAUCUUUGCUAAAAUUUUCCUCUCUCUUCUUGUGUUCUUUUCAUUCUUCUAUUACUUCGCCCCCUCCUUUCCCUUGUAGUCUUAUUCUUUUUGAUGCGUUUGUUAUGUCAUCUACAAAGCAGAUUGGUCUUUCCCUACCAACUUUGUGUCGGAAGAUGACAAAAUUAAUUAAGCCCAUCUAUGCGUCAUCCUCAUGAAACCCUCUUGUUUUCAUGCAGCAACCUUAGUGAGGGUAUAUUGUUUUUUCUUUUUCCUAUGUGACUUUGUCCUGAAUCACAUUCAGGCUAUAUUCAGUGUGUCCUCGAUGUGGCAAAUGUGCCAUUUAGAUAUAUGGUUUGCCUAGGAAGAUUCUCUUGUGGUUGCCUUAAAAGAUUCUAUGGUGGCAGACGUCAAUUUGUUUCCCAUUGUUCUAAUAGAAACAUGAGAUCGAAUGAUUUUGAUUUCUGCAAGUGUUUAUUUGAAUUCUUUUAGUCUCGUACAUCAUGUUACUUGUGUUCUAUACAUUUUGUUACUUGUAUUACUGGAUCAUUAUAUGUUUUUUCCUUUUGUGCUUUGUUAUGAAUGUGCAAUUUGAAAACUGAUUUGAUUGUUUGUACAUCUUCCAGGGCAUGUUAUGGUGUGUUGAGGUUUGUUAUGGAAAGUGGUGCUAAGGGAUGUGAGGUGAUUGUCAGUGGGAAGCUAAGGGCACAGCGUGCAAAAUCUAUGAAAUUCAAGGAUGGCUACAUGAUUUCAUCUGGUCAGCCUGUGAAAGAUUAUAUCGAUUCUGCUGUGAGACAUGUUCUGUUACGACAGGGGGUUCUUGGUAUCAAGGUCAAGAUUAUGCUCGAUUGGGAUCCUAAGGGGAAGCAGGGCCCAACAACUCCUCUACCAGAUUUGGUCACAAUCCAUCCUCCCAAGGAGGAAGAGGAGUACCUGCGACCACCACCUGCAUUGGCACCCGAGAUUGACGUCUUAGUGCCAGUGGCUUAAAGCCUUAGCGGUCAAUGUCCUGAUUGUUAUUGAUGUCAUUAUUAUAAUCUUCACUAGAGUUAUUUAAUCAUCUCGUUCUGCAAUGUUGGAUACUCGCGUUUUUUACUGGACUUUUUGAUACCCUUCUCAGUUGUUGCUCUACUUGAUUUGGUUUUUCUAGAGCCAUUGGAUUGGCGUUUUAAUAGAUUACAAUAGUUGCGUUCGUCUCCUUAUGAUCAAGGACUUGCACGGUUUUGUUUUAAUCUUUAGUUAUGGAAUGGUAAAUACAUGUUGGCAUGCUAUUAUUUAUUUAUUUUUUUUGUUAGAGUCUAUUUGAGGAGAGACAAUAUGUCCUCUCUUUUCAUAAAUCACAUCCCACCCAUAUUAAACCGUUGGGUUCAAUCAUCUUGAAGUAGCUUAUAUAUGUUCGUUUCUAUUCAUUCAUUUAUUUAUUAUUAUCAGUAGUGGAUAAUAUAUA